rnacentral:rRNA from 1 species
CUUCGGGGAACGAUAACGGCGUCGAGCGGCGGACGGGUGAGUAAUGCCUGGGAAAUUGCCCUGAUGUGGGGGAUAACCAUUGGAAACGAUGGCUAAUACCGCAUAAUAGCUUCGGCUCAAAGAGGGGGACCUUCGGGCCUCUCGCGUCAGGAUAUGCCCAGGUGGGAUUAGCUAGUUGGUGAGGUAAGGGCUCACCAAGGCGACGAUCCCUAGCUGGUCUGAGAGGAUGAUCAGCCACACUGGAACUGAGACACGGUCCAGACUCCUACGGGAGGCAGCAGUGGGGAAUAUUGCACAAUGGGCGCAAGCCUGAUGCAGCCAUGCCGCGUGUAUGAAGAAGGCCUUCGGGUUGUAAAGUACUUUCAGCAGUGAGGAAGGCGGGUACGUUAAUAGCGUGCUCGUUUGACGUUAGCUGCAGAAGAAGCACCGGCUAACUCCGUGCCAGCAGCCGCGGUAAUACGGAGGGUGCGAGCGUUAAUCGGAAUUACUGGGCGUAAAGCGCAUGCAGGUGGUUUGUUAAGUCAGAUGUGAAAGCCCGGGGCUCAACCUCGGAAUUGCAUUUGAAACUGGCAGACUAGAGUACUGUAGAGGGGGGUAGAAUUUCAGGUGUAGCGGUGAAAUGCGUAGAGAUCUGAAGGAAUACCGGUGGCGAAGGCGGCCCCCUGGACAGAUACUGACACUCAGAUGCGAAAGCGUGGGGAGCAAACAGGAUUAGAUACCCUGGUAGUCCACGCCGUAAACGAUGUCUACUUGGAGGUUGUGGCCUUGAGCCGUGGCUUUCGGAGCUAACGCGUUAAGUAGACCGCCUGGGGAGUACGGUCGCAAGAUUAAAACUCAAAUGAAUUGACGGGGGCCCGCACAAGCGGUGGAGCAUGUGGUUUAAUUCGAUGCAACGCGAAGAACCUUACCUACUCUUGACAUCCAGAGAACUUUCCAGAGAUGGAUUGGUGCCUUCGGGAGCUCUGAGACAGGUGCUGCAUGGCUGUCGUCAGCUCGUGUUGUGAAAUGUUGGGUUAAGUCCCGCACGAGCGCAACCCUUAUCCUUGUU